rnacentral:rRNA from 1 species
UGGGGAAUAUUGGACAAUGGGCGAAAGCCUGAUCCAGCAAUGCCGCGUGAGUGAUGAAGGCCUUAGGGUUGUAAAGCUCUUUUACCAGGGAUGAUAAUGACAGUACCUGGAGAAUAAGCUCCGGCUAACUCCGUGCCAGCAGCCGCGGUAAUACGGAGGGAGCUAGCGUUGUUCGGAAUUACUGGGCGUAAAGCGCACGUAGGCGGCGAUUCAAGUCAGAGGUGAAAGCCCGGGGCUCAACCCCGGAACUGCCUUUGAAACUAGAUUGCUAGAAUCCUGGAGAGGUGAGUGGAAUUCCGAGUGUAGAGGUGAAAUUCGUAGAUAUUCGGAAGAACACCAGUGGCGAAGGCGACUCACUGGACAGGUAUUGACGCUGAGGUGCGAAAGCGUGGGGAGCAAACAG